rnacentral:rRNA from 1 species
AGGAUAAACGCUGGCGGCGUGCCUAACACAUGCAAGUCGAACGCGCUUGCUAUCCGCGAGGACGGUGAGCGAGUGGCGGACGGGUGAGGAACACGUGGGUGACCUACCUUUCAGUGAGGGAUACCGGCGAGAAAUUGCCGACAAGACCGCAUACGCUUCUCUUUUCAAGGGGAGAAGGAAAGCUUUUCGCAAGAGAGGCGCUGGGAGAUGGGCCUGCGGCCGAUUAGCUAGCUGGUGGGGUAAUGGCCUACCAGGGCGACGAUCGGUAGCUGGUCUGAGAGGACGAUCAGCCACACUGGGAUUGAGAACGGCCCAGACUCCUACGGGGGGCAGCAGUGAGGAAUUUUCGGCAAUGGGGCAACCCUGACCGAGCAACGCGCGUGCAGGCGACGGCUCGGUUGUAAACUGCUUUCUCUGGGACGAGCAAGGACGGUACCGAGAGGAAGAAGCCCGGCUAACUACGUGCCAGCAGCCGCGGU